AACUGCAAUUCUGCUGUUACUGGGUUGGGGUCCAGCCAAGUUGAGUACCGACCCUGGCCUUUGAGAACUUACUCCCCCGCAAGCUAGUCCUCCCUCACAAGAAACACGAUGCGGACGCCCUCCUGUUCGCUGUCUGCCUGGCUCAGUCCUUGGCUUCUUGAUCCACCCAGUUCACAUUCGUCGCGGGCUAGGAUAAGUACCCUCCCCCUCCUGACAAUCAAUUGCAGUUCUCUCUGAGUGGGUGCAGACUUUGUGUUAUUGAGGGUUCCAGGUUGCUGGAGUGGGGUCGUUUUGAUGUCGUUUACUGCAUGACUGGUGAUGGGGGUUAGAUUUCGUUGAUGAUUAUGUUGGUUGUGAUAAAUCGGUUCCGUGUCGUCAUAAUCGCAAGUGUUGCAGGCAGUUAUGAGGAGAUGGAGAGCGUGCAGACUUGUUUCCUUCCUCUAGCCUAUGAUGCAGAUUCUUCAUCUGUUUGUUAUCGUUCUCAUGGUGUACAUAACAGACGAAGGUCUGCAUCAUAGCCAAGAGGAAGCAAAUCUUAAUACCUGGCUCGAAUUUGGCCUGCACGCAAUUUUGCCCCGGUCUGACGCUCUACCUUUAGCGAGUUUGCUCGUGGGCUUUGGGGACAUCUAUUUCUUGUCUACCCCUUCUGACGCUGUUUCAGCCUGGCUAAACCCAAGUACAUGGAAUAGAUCUCUCUUUCUCUCUCUCGCUCUCUCUCACUCCAGCAAGACGAUAGAUUGAUGGAAGUCUCAAAUAAAUAGAACAGUGCAGUGCCAAUUUAAACUUAGCACCUACAUCCAGCAUGACAGUUGUUGCAGCAUACUAGUGAUCAUUUGUAUUGCUUCUAUCGAGCGUGGCUCUGCAAUCCAGAAAGAUACUUGUGAUAGCUUCACUUUCUUUCGAAGAUUCACAAGAUUUGUUUGAACCAAGGGCAACCUGUCUGUGAUGCAUAAUUUCAACUGACCUAGCAAACGUUUACCGCGUAAAUUUCGAGGCUCAAGCAUAUCCCAAGCUGAAUUGACGAUGGGAUCUUGUGAAUAGCACAGAACCACGUCUGCCAAAUUGAAUGUCAAGAACCUGUUCCAUUGAAGUCUAUUUACGCACAAAGUGGAAGUUAUCACAUCGCAGUCUUCCAACACUGACCUCUACUCGUCAAGUAACAGGAUCCAUCAUCAGUGAAGCUGUGCCAUCUAGAUUGUCGAGAUUCAUCUCCGUAGUCAUCUGAAUGGACCUGAAUAGUUUUUUUUACGAAUUUCUGGUCCCCUACAGAAAGAAGUGUAACUUCGUAAUAAUUAGAGGGUAAAUUGACAGAUCACUUGGGGGAUCAAUCAUCUUGAUGAUCGUCACUACUUGGUCAAUAGCAAUAUUGCAUUUCGGUUUGUUCCCACUUGUUAUAACAUUCUUACAGAGCUACUCAGAGUAAUUGAAUCGAGUAGGUCGCUUUCCUGUGUGUGGAGUGUUAACAUUAAUCAGUAUGAUAUGUUCAGUUCUCGAUCGCUCACAACGGUCUUGUGAGGAUGUCACAUAGAUCCCUCUGUUGAGCUUGGUGUGAGCAGAUGCACUAGACUAUGAACAUGGUAGCAACCUUUCCGACAAUCUAAUUCACGGUAGUGAUGUUUUCGAGGUUGAGGUUGAUCAUACAGCAAACGGCAUCGAUCGAGAUCUAGCAUCCGGACGAGCUCAUGCACAUGCGCGCUUGCAUCGAUCUGUCUUCACAGUUUCUAAAACUUGAUCGGUAGCGAAAAGAGAUUCUCAGGGCCGUUGAGAAUUUGUCCGGUCCGAGAAUUGCAGCCUCACAUAUAAACAGUCGCAUAUCAAUUACAACAUCAGUAACCUACUGAUAGACACUGAAGAUCUACUCGAAGAGUAAGACCAAGACCCUGAGGCCGAGCCCGAGUCGAAAACACGCAAAGACUCCACAACUCAUUGCUUACAACCUCGAUGACAUCAUAUUGAUAACGUCAUCAAGAGAAUCAUCGUGCAUUCGAUGGAUGAACAGAGCACAAAACUCGGGGGUAACAUGCAGUGAUGCUUGACUCUUCGUGGUGUAACAGUAGGAUUUAUAUGUAUUUAAGAUUCACAGAAUUACUCAAUAAUGUGUGAUAUUGCUCCUAGAUUAGUCUUUUGUUAUGGUUAGCGUAAGUUCGUAGCACUGAGCAGUGAGCACUGGUGAAGCUCUUCUUUCUAUGCUCAUAGUUGCAUGUUCCUCUGUUCUUACACCAAGUAGUUGAUGACUCCUCAUUUCCUACCAUCGUCGGAGCGUCAACAUUUACUGCUGAGCAGUUCAAAAUUCAUAAGCUCAAAGCUCAAGCGAUAAUUGUAAUGAU